AACGAACGCUGGCGGCAUGCCUAACACAUGCAAGUCGAACGAGACCUUCGGGUCUAGUGGCGCACGGGGGCGUAACGCGGGGGAACCUGCCCGUAGGUUCGGAAUAACUCCCCGAAAGGGGUGCUAAUACCGGAUAAUGUCUUCGGACCAAAGAUUUAUCGCCUUUGGAUGGGCCCGCGUUGGCUUAGCUGGUUGGUAGGGUAAAAGCCUACCAGGGCGACGAUCCAUAGCUGGUCUGAGAGAAUGGUCAGCGACACUGGGACGGGGACACGGCCCAGACUACUACGGGAGGGGGGAGUGGGGAAUAUUGGACAACCGGCGGAGGCAUGAUGCAGCAAUGCCGCGUGAGUGAUGAAGGUCUUAGGGUUGUACAGCUCUUUUACCCGGGAUGAUAAUGACAGUACCGGGAGAAUAAGCACCGGCUAACUCCGUG
rnacentral:rRNA from 1 species